rnacentral:tRNA from 1 species
GAGGGUAUAGCUUAGUGGUAGAGCGCGUGCUUAGCAUGCACAAGGUCCUGGGUUCAAUCCCCAGUCCCUCCA